UACGUAGGGUGCAAGCGUUGUCCGGAAUUAUUGGGCGUAAAGAGCUCGUAGGCGGUCUGUCGCGUCGGAUGUGAAAACCCAGGGCUCAACCCUGGGCCUGCAUUCGAUACGGGCAGACUAGAGUUCCGUAGGGGAGACUGGAAUUCCUGGUGUAGCGGUGAAAUGCGCAGAUAUCAGGAGGAACACCGGUGGCGAAGGCGGGUCUCUGGGCCGAAACUGACGCUGAGGAGCGAAAGCGUGGGGAGCAAACAGG
rnacentral:rRNA from 1 species